rnacentral:rRNA from 1 species
GUGCUGAAAGCAUCUAAGCACGAAACUUGCCCCGAGAUGAGUUCUCCCUGAGACUUUAAGUCUCCUGAAGGAACGUUGAAGACGACGACGUUGAUAGGUCGGGUGUGUAAGCGUAGCGAUACGUUGAGCUAACCGAUACUAAUGAACCGUGAGGCUUAACCUU